rfam:Pantoea vagans C9-1, complete genome.
CAGGAUGAGCCGACAGGACGUCGGCGAAAGGACGGUUCGCGCCAGGGAUGGCGCGUCCGGACGGUCCG